rnacentral:rRNA from 1 species
CCUACGGGAGGCAGCAGUGGGGAAUAUUGGGCAAUGGGCGCAAGCCUGACCCAGCAACGCCGCGUGAAGGAAGAAGGCUUUCGGGUUGUAACCUUCUUUUAAGGGGGAAGAGCAGAAGACGGUACCCCUUGAAUAAGCCACGGCUAACUACGUGCCAGCAGCCGCGGUAAUACGUAGGUGGCAAGCGUUGUCCGGAUUUACUGGGUGUAAAGGGCGUGCAGCCGGAGAGACAAGUCAGAUGUGAAAUCCACGGGCUCAACCCGUGAACUGCAUUUGAAACUGUUUCCCUUGAGUGUCAGAGAGGUAAUCGGAAUUCCUUGUGUAGCGGUGAAAUGCGUAGAUAUAAGGAAGAACACCAGUGGCGAAGGCGGAUUACUGGACGAUAACUGACGGUGAGGCGCGAAAGCGUGGGGAGCAAACAGGAUUAGAUACCCCGGUAGUC